rnacentral:rRNA from 1 species
AUUGAACGCUGGCGGCAUGCCUUACACAUGCAAGUCGAACGGUAACAGGUCUUCGGAUGCUGACGAGUGGCGAACGGGUGAGUAAUAUAUCGGAACGUGCCCAGUCGUGGGGGAUAACGCAGCGAAAGCUGUGCUAAUACCGCAUACGAUCUAUGGAUGAAAGCGGGGGAUCGCAAGACCUCGCGCGAUUGGAGCGGCCGAUAUCAGAUUAGGUAGUUGGUGGGGUAAAGGCCCACCAAGCCAACGAUCUGUAGCUGGUCUGAGAGGACGACCAGCCACACUGGAACUGAGACACGGUCCAGACUCCUACGGGAGGCAGCAGUGGGGAAUUUUGGACAAUGGGCGCAAGCCUGAUCCAGCAAUGCCGCGUGCAGGAUGAAGGCCUUCGGGUUGUAAACUGCUUUUGUACGGAACGAAAGGCUCUGGUUAAUACCUGGGGCUCAUGACGGUACCGUAAGAAUAAGCACGGCUAACUACGUGCC